CCCAGACUCCUACGGGAGGCAGCAGUGGGGAAUAUUGCACAAUGGGGGAAACCCUGAUGCAGCGAUGCCGCGUGGAGGAAGAAGGUUUUCGGAUUGUAAACCCCUUUUAUCAGGGACGAUAAUGACGGUACCUGAAGAAAAAGCAUCGGCUAACUCCGUGCCAGCAGCCGCGGUAAUACGGAGGAUGCGAGCGUUAUCCGGAUUUAUUGGGUGUAAAGGGUGCGUAGGCGGGUUAUCAAGUUAGCGGUAAAAUCGUGGGGCUCAACUCCAGCCAGCCGUUGAAACUGAUGAUCUUGAGUGGGCGAGAAGUAUGCGGAAUGCGUGGUGUAGCGGUGAAAUGCGUAGAUAUCACGCAGAACUCCGGUUGCGAAGGCAGCAUGCCGGCGCCCGACUGACGCUGAAGCACGAAAGCGUGGGUAUCGAACAGGAUUAGAUCCCCUAGUA
rnacentral:rRNA from 1 species